CCUUGGAAAACAUAGAUCAGUAAUGUAGCAGCAAAAGACAUCAUGAUACCAAAUGGGAAACGAGGAUUUGGAAGAUGCUUUGGAACUCUUAAUUUCCAGACCAGUUGAUAGCAGAUACAGUUCAUUACACAGGAAAAUUGCUUGAUCUUGGGAGAAAGAAGGUGCUGGAGCAAGGUUUUUAUGAAAGACUCAGAUUGUUUUUACCAAGGUCAUGGCAUAUGGAACCUACAUGAAUCCUACACUGUUCUUAAAAACAUCUGAGAUAUUUAAAUGACUUGGUUUAAUUGUGAUAACUGGAACAAUUAUUUCAUGGAGCUUACCAAAUCUUGAUAUUGUAUUGUCUAGGCAAUAAGGCAAAAGCC